rfam:Oryza meridionalis cultivar OR44 (W2112) chromosome 11, whole genome shotgun sequence.
AAAAAGACAAAUCUUGAGUUUCCGUAUCCAAUGUUUAACUAUCCGUCCUAUAUGAAAUUUUUUUUAUAUUAGUAAUUUCAUUGUUAUUGGAUGAUAAAACAUGAUUAAUACUUUAUGCGUGACUUGUCUUUUUAAUUUUUUUCAUAAUUUUUUCAAAUAAAACGGACGGUCAAACGUUGGACACGGAAAUCUGGGUUUGCCUUUUUU